rnacentral:lncRNA from 1 species
UUAAAAUUUAAAUUUUUAACUUACUUGAUUUGGAUUUUUUUCUCAACCUUGACUUUUAGAUCUAUAAACACAUAUAUAAAAUUUUUUGUUUAUGAAAUAUUUUUUACUGUAAAUAUGUCAUUUGACUAUUUUCUUUAAAGUUUGAAAAUGAUUGACCCCCCCUAACAACAAAACUUUUCAAGUACCUGAAUUUCAACAUGAUGAGUGAUUCUUUAAUCACGACCAGAAAUAAGGAUCCAAUUUUCAUAGAUUAAGGUCAGGACUUUUGAAAUUAAUAUUAUACAUUCACGAUCAGGAUAAUUUUAUUAUUUCUUUCAUCCUAAUCUAAACUACAGUGCACUAACAUGAUUUACUCAUUGGACAUAUCUAACGGCUGAUAUCAUCUCCAUCAGAUCGAAUGGUUCACGUUCAAUCAACCCUCCUUCCUUUCAUGGGUUCCCCAAAUCACGCGUACAUUACAUUAAAUUCUCCUUCUAUUUACCGACUCCUGUCCUAUAGUGCACCAACAUGAUUUACUCAUUGGACAGAUCUAACGGCUGAUAUCAUCUCCAUCAGAUCGAACAGUUCACGUUCAAUCAACCCUUAUUUCUUUUAUAGGUUCCCCAAAUCACGCGUACGUCACGUUAAAUACUCCUUCUAUUCCAAAAUCAUGCGCACUUUCUAUCUAUUAUCCAUACAUCUAAUUUAAUGCAUUAAGUCUAGAACAAAUGUACAUCCAAAUUCAAUGUAUCAUAAAAAGACCAGAGGGAGUAUUACAAAUAACACUACGUCCGAUCUCAGUCAAAUCUUCGUUUAAUCGUUUGCCUUUUUCAAUGUUUUUAUGCAAAUAUAGAAUAUUA